GAUCAGGCUCAGGACGAACGCUGGCGGCGUGCCUAACACAUGCAAGUCGAGCGGAGACAGUGAGUAGCUUGCUAUGAGCUGUUUUAGCGGCGGACGGGUGAGUAACGCGUGAGCAACCUUUCCCAGACAGGGGAAUAACACACCGAAAGGUGUACUAAUACCACAUAAGACCACGGGAUCACAUGGUUCUGAGGUAAAAGAUUUAUCGGUUUGGGGUGGGCUCGCGUCCGAUUAGGUAGUUGGUGAGG
rnacentral:rRNA from 1 species